GCCUGGUUGGCUCAGUCGGAAGAACAUAAGAUUCUUGAUCUCAGGGUUGUGAGUUCAAGCCCCACAUUGGGUG
rnacentral:tRNA from 1 species